UACGUAGGUGGCAAGCGUUGUCCGGAUUUACUGGGCGUAAAGAGCGCGCAGGCGGUCGGAUAAGUCGGAUGUGAAAGCCCCCGGCUCAACUGGGGAGGGUCAUUCGAUACUGUUCGACUCGAAGGCAGGAGAGGGAAGUGGAAUUCCCGGUGUAGUGGUGAAAUGCGUAGAUAUCGGGAGGAACACCAGUGGCGAAGGCGACUUCCUGGCCUGUUCUUGACGCUGAGGCGCGAAAGCUAGGGGAGCAAACAGG
rnacentral:rRNA from 1 species